UACAAAGACAACGAGCACGCCACACCUUCUACCUGUCGCUUCAACACCAACACCAACACCAACGUUUGCUCUCCCCUCUGGGUCUUGGCCUUUGUGGGAGACAUCGACGCCGGUUUCCUCAGUACCUCUGGAUCUACUAUCCGGACCGUUCCCUGCUGAAGACUCGACGUCGGCAUCUGGGCUAUCCGCACCUCCACAGCCACCGUCGCCGACACCAUCAGCACAGCCAGCAACCACAGACAAGCCGCGGACAUCGCCCCGGAUACCAAAACAAAAAGAAAGAAAUACUUGUGUGUGUGUGUGUGUGUGUGCAUGAAAAGAUCACCCGGAACCCGGAAAUCAGACACGACCGGGAAGUCAUCCGGACCCUGUGGAUGCUGAUCAUUCAUUGAACGGGUCGCUCCAACUGUUCAACGACGAUCAGUCAGAGGUCGAAGGAGUAGGGCACCCGCUCGUUGAUUCUCUAACUCACCAGACGCCUCUGCUGAUAGGAGAUACAAAGACAACGAGCACGCCACACCUUCUACCUGUCGCUUCAACACCAACACCAACACCAACGUUUG